CCUACGGGAGGCAGCAGUAAGGAAUAUUGGUCAAUGGGCGCAAGCCUGAACCAGCCAUGCCGCGUGCAGGAAGACGGCCCUAUGGGUUGUAAACUGCUUUUGAACAAGAGAAAACCUCGGUACGUGUACCGAGCUGAUAGUAUUGUUAGAAUAAGCAUCGGCUAACUUCGUGCCAGCAGCCGCGGUAAGACGAAGGAUGCAAGCGUUAUCCGGAUUCAUUGGGUUUAAAGGGUGCGUAGGCGGCCUGAUAAGUCAGUGGUGAAAUCUCGCAGCUUAACUGAGAAACUGCCAUUGAUACUGUCGGGCUUGAGUACAGAUGAUGUGGGCGGAAUAUGACAUGUAGUGGUGAAAUACUUAGAUAUGUCAUAGAACACCGAUUGCGAAGGCAGCUCACAAAAACUGUAACUGACGCUGAGGCACGAAAGUGCGGGGAUCAAAACAGGAUUAGAUACCCUGGUAGUCCGCACCGUAAACGAUGAUUACUCGUUGUUGGGCGAAUAAUGACCGUCAGACGACCAACGACGAAAGACGAGUAAGUAAAUACCACCCUCGGGAGGUACGGACCGGCCGAACGGAGAAAACGUUAAAAGGUAAAAGUUAGACGGACGNGAGGAGNGCCGACGGACGACACGAGGGGAGGUAGGGAG
rnacentral:rRNA from 1 species